UAAUACGUAGGUUGCAAGCGUUGUCCGGAAUUACUGGGCGUAAAGGGCCUGUAGGCGGCAUGGUAAGUCCGUAGUGAAAUCUCCCGGCUUAACUGGGAGCGGUCUAUGGAUACUGCCAAGCUAGAGAUCAUCAGAGGAGAGCGGAAUUCCCGGUGUAGUGGUGAAAUGCGUAGAUAUCGGGAGGAACACCAGUGGCGAAAGCGGCUCUCUGGGGUGGUUCUGACGCUGAGGGGCGAAAGCGUGGGGAGCAAACCGGAUUAGAUACCCGGGUAGUCCACGCCCUAAACGAUGAAUGCUAAGUCUCCGGGGUAUCCACCCCCUGUGGGCUGCAGUUAACGCGUUAAGCAUUCCGCCUGGGGACUACGGCCGCAAGGCUA
rnacentral:rRNA from 1 species